AUGCAUCUUGAUAAACUUUCCAGAGUUAUGUCUAAUGAGUUUUUUUUGGUGGGCAUGAAGAGAAAGGCAUCACAAAGCAUUCACUUUCCAUCUCUUCAAUUAAAUUCAAUAAUCAUCAAAGUCCAGUGGCAAGACAAAAGUCAGGAUGACUGGAAAUGAUCCCUUAUACAGUAGAUGACCGUGACCUCUUAGAUGUCUAACCAAGUUUUUGGUGCUCAACAGAGCCCACUUCUGCCACCUUUAUGGCUAUUGGAAGAAAUUACUCUCAUCCAACCAUUCCUGGGGUUGUUCCCCCCAAUUUAACACAGUUUUGAGGCCUGAUGGUUACCCUCAACCUGGUUUAAUCUGUCUACUGAGAAGGUAUUACUGGGAUGUGGCCACUCCCAAUGCUACAGAUUGUUGCAGCCACUGAUGAGAGUUGGGUGAAAAGUCAGGUGUAUCCAAAUUUGGAUGAGCAGCCCUAAAAAGAGCUAUCGUACAGGCAGUGACUAAUACAGAAUUUAAAUCUAAAUCUUCUGAGUCCAAACUAACACUUUCCAAUGUAUCACAACUAAAUUGAUCCCAGAGGAGAAAUCCACCAAGAGAGCUUUGUUCAAAUCCACCAAGAGAAUUAUGCUCCUGAAGCUCUUCCCAGUGACCUGAAUUCUUGGGGAAAGAGCCAUUAACUUCAUCAUUGCCAUAUGGUCAUUUUUUUCAUAAUGCCUCAAUGCUUUUAUCAGGAGUAUCAAAAUGAACAUAAAGGUAAAGCCAAUGAAGCUGAUGGCAAUUUGUAGUUGUUUUUAAAAUUUAUUCAUAGGAUUAUCCUGAGUUUUUACUGGUUCUCUUUGUUACUGAAUUUUGAGGAAUGUAGUGAUUUGAACCAGGAAAACAAGCCUUAAGCCUCUCUCCCCUAAGUCUGUCAAGUCAGCCAAAUAUUCCUGAAUUUUUCUGAUUAUUAUUAUUUCUCUAUAUUAUUUAUAAUAUUUGUAUAUCAAUGAUUAAUUUACAAAUAUGGAAUCACUAAAAAAUUAAGAUCAUUGUUAUGAAAGUAAAAGACAAGUUUUUCUAUGCUUCAGAAACCUUCCCCAAUAACACCAAGGUGAGAGAGGCAAAAUUUGGAAGGGAAGUCUCUACUAGGCCCAAGAGUUUAUGCUCAAGUGAGAAGAGCUCCCUUUUCAAAAUCUGGUCCUGAUCUUGCAUGUUCCAGAUUCCACAGGACUUUUGCUAAUCUUCAGGCACAUUAUUACUACUUUUGUGAGAGAUAUUUUUCAAGCUAUAGGCCAGAUUUCAGAGUGAGCUAAGAUGCUUAGUGGUAUUCUUGAUAUGGAAGUUAAACUAGUUUGGAUUCCUUUGAGCACCCUGUCCAUUUUUCAAUGCCAAAAUUUGCAGAUUCCAAAAAGGCCCCUCUGUGCUCUGUAUGCAGUAAGUGCUACCAUAUGAAGCCAAAGAGAAUCUGUCUGUUGUCAGAUCCAUGCCAGAGCCUUACUGGUCAAUAAUUAAUAGAAACAAAUGGAAUAGACCACAUUAGACAAAAGGAGCUAAUUAUUGUUUUUUGGACAGUGGAUUAUAACUUUAAAUUCAUAUUUUUGCUGGACUUGGAAAAUUGACAUAAAUGAGACAUGGAUUUGACUAUGUCACUUCUCCUUUCAGAAAUCUUGGCUUCCUAUUGCCCGUAGGAUAAAAUACAAAAUUCUUAACAUAGUACUUGAAGCCCUCCACAAUAUGAUUCUGAAUCUAUUCUUUAAUUAUUAUCUCAGAUUAUUCUUCAAGCAUUCUCUGUUCUUAUUCAACUGAACUAUUGGUUCUUCCCCAUACCAGACAUUCUCCUACUUCUGUGUUUUGCCUAGAUAGUCCUCCAUAUCCAGAAUAUACACCCUCCUUACAUCUACCUCAAAGUACAAUUUAGAUACCUACAUUAGACGUUUCUUAACCUCAUCAGUAGUUAUCAAAUUUUGAAAUUAUUUAUUAUUACUGUAUAUGUGCUUAUUUAUGUACAUGUUGAUUGCACCUCUGCCAUUCAUCCUAGUAGAAUAUAACUUCCUUUAAAGUAUAGUGAAUUUCCUUCCUUCCUUCCUUCCUUCCUUCCUUCCUUCCUUCCUUCCUUCCUUCCUUCCUUCCUUCCUUCCUUCCUUCCUUCCUUCCUUCCUUCCUUCCUUCCUUCAAUAUGUAGGAUUUUAGUAGAAAAAAAAGGAGAUCAAGAUGUCUAGACACAUAAGGAAAGUAUAAACCAAGUAAGGAAACUGGAAAUUAAAUGCCAUACUUGAAAAACAGAGUAUGGGGACAAUAGAAUUCAUGGAGGUGCAUAAAAUAAGAUAUCUAGAAAAAAAUCUACUUUAGAACUCUUUCUACUGCACCACACUGAAUAUCUCAAGGCAAUAGAUAUCUUGUUCAAUUUUCUUAUCAAAAUGUAGACUAUAGGGAGCUAAUGAAAACUAUAACUAGUUUGGGGUUACAAAAGAAAAGUUUGAGUUGUUGGAAUAGAGGGAAGACAAGUGUUGGCUACAUUUAAAAUUUUUGCAUCCCUGACAUGGCUCAUUGCCAGUCACUUUCCAAGCACUUUUAUAGGGACUUUAUGAUGGAGGAGGCAAAGGGAAUGUUUCUUUUCUUUGUGUGAAAAAUAUUCUGGGCCAUGGAGCCUGGAAAAAGAGUGGAAUCUUGUUAUCAGUUAACAGCUGGGAAGAGAGAAACCAGCCAUGGUCACUGUCCCUCAGAGUUGCUAAAUAGCUGAUCAAUUUAUAGAAUCAUAAGAUCAUGUGGUAGCAGAAUCAUAAUAUAGAAAGAGAAAAAGAAACAAAAACCAUCACUGUAUCACAGUAUGACAGAAGGAUUUAGGAAAGUGGAUGAUCCCAAAAUAAAGGACAGAACUUGGCAUCA
ensembl:lncRNA